ensembl:ncRNA C43C3.5 ncRNA
GAAAAGUGCAGUGAAAAGAAGAAAAGAGAACGAAAACCGUUUGAAUAAUU